rnacentral:snRNA from 1 species
UCGCUGUGGCAGUGUAUAUACUAAAAUUGUAACAACACAGAGAAGAUUAGCAUGGCCCCUGCACAAGGAUGACACGCAAAUUCGUAAAAUGUGAGUUGAGUCAUGUAAUACUUUU